GUUCGAGGGCUUCGUGCCCUUGUAGUUUGCUGAACUUAAGCCUUUAAUCACACCCCCCGGGGGAUUCCGGCCCCAGAGUUGAACCCCAAUGGAUUUGCCGGGGGCCCCCCCAACCGGGGAACCAGGGGGUUUAUUUCAAACCACCCCGAAAAACCUUACCACGCCUGGACUUCCUCUAAAAACCCUAAAAAUCCGGCUUGCCCUUCGGAACUGUAAUGACGGGGCUGGCAGGGUUGUCUCCACUUCUGGUGUGGAAAGGUUGGGUUAAUCCCCGCACCAACCCCACCCCUUGACCUUAUUUGCCAUCAUUAAGUUGGGCACUCUAAGGUGACUGCCGGUGAUAACCGGAGGAAGGUGGGGAUGACGUCAAAUCAUCAUGCCCCCUUUAUGACCUGGGCUACACACGUGCUACAAUGGACUGUACAAAGAGGAUGCAAGACUGGCGAGGUGGAGCUAAAUCUCAUAAAACCGUAUCUCAGUUCCGGA
rnacentral:rRNA from 1 species